AACUGCGUGGGUGCGAUAGCAAGUGCCCCGCCAGAGGUGCCUGCUCUUUUCAGGCAUAUCUGCCAACUGGCUGGUUUCUGGCCAAAGCCUGUGAAUCCGAAGGUUGGAAACUCAGUUUCUAAGCUCUGGGAGGGGCUGGGAAGAGUCAGUUCUUCUAGAAACCAAACCUAUGUGCUUAAAUACACCACAGAAGGGCUUGGCAGAGCCACCGGAAGUUGGAUGGUAGUGUUGUGACUCACAGGAACCCCAGAUGAGAAGAGGCCGUCUGAGAGGUUGAAAACAUAUAUAGCAUGUCCAGAUGAACUGAAAAACUUCAUCUGGAGGUUGAAUAAGAGAAAGGAAUUAAAUUCAAAAAGAAUAUCCUUAAACCUUAGAACAUGACAAAUUUCAGCAGUGUUACAAAAAUGACCAAAAGCUCCAAAUGAACCUCUGGAAUCUAGUCCACAUACAAGUGAGAUCAUGCAGCAUUUUUAUUUGUGUCCAGCUUAUGUCACUCAGGAAUUUCUAGAUAUUUCCUCGAGGUUCAUUCAUGCUGUUGCAAAUGACAGGAUGUACUUCUGAAUGUGAGUGUGAGAACAUCAUGCAGCCACAGAAAACCCAUGUGGAGAUACAGCAGCUGACAGUUCCAGCUAAGGUUUCAGCCAAUAGCAAAUAUGAAACACCAGGUAUGUGAGUAAACCAGUGUAUGAUGAGUCCAGCCCGCAGCUGUUGAGUCACCCCUCGUCUUUGAGUCAUUUUAGAAAAUGCCAUGUGGAAGCAGAGAUGCGAA
rnacentral:lncRNA from 1 species